rnacentral:rRNA from 1 species
CCUACGGGAGGCAGCAGUGGGGAAUAUUGCACAAUGGGCGAAAGCCUGAUGCAGCAACGCCGCGUGAGGGAUGACGGCCUUCGGGUUGUAAACCUCUUUUAGUAGGGAAGAAGCGUAAGUGACGGUACCUGCAGAAAAAGCACCGGCUAACUACGUGCCAGCAGCCGCGGUAAU